rnacentral:rRNA from 1 species
GAUGAACGCUGGCGGCGUGCUUAACACAUGCAAGUCGAGCGAUGAAAUCCCUUCGGGGAUGGAUUAGCGGCGGACGGGUGAGUAACACGUGGGCAACCUGCCUUAUAGAGAGGAAUAGCCAUCCGAAAGGAUGAUUAAUACCUCAUAAUAUUGUAGCUUCGCAUGAAGCAACAAUCAAAGGAGCAAUCCACUAUAAGAUGGGCCCGCGGCGCAUUAGCUAGUUGGUGAGGUAACGGCUCACCAAGGGGACGAUGCGUAGCCGACCUGAGAGGGUGAUCGGCCACAUUGGGACUGAGACACGGCCCAGACUCCUACGGGAGGCAGCAGUGGGGAAUAUUGCACAAUGGGGGAAACCCUGAUGCAGCAACGCCGCGUGAGUGAUGACGGCCUUCGGGUUGUAAAGCUCUGUCUUCAGGGACGAUAAUGACGGUACCUGAGGAGGAAGCCACGGCUAACUACGUGCCAGCAGCCGCAGUAACAC